rnacentral:rRNA from 1 species
AUGUUUUGUUGCCCGCAUGCAGCCCAACCAGGCCCGCUCGGGUUGUGCGUGGCCUGUUUGGUUGCCUGGGCUGCAUGCGGUUUGAGGCCCGCACAGACCUUAAAGCAGCCCGCAGCCUGGCCCGGCGGAAACUGCCGAAUCGGCAGUUUCUCGCGAACCUGGUCGCGCGCGGCCACGCAUGCGAGGCAGUUGCACGCCUUGGGUAGCGCGGGACACGGAGGCGACAUCUCAUUACUCUCCCCACACUCUCCUGUCACCGCCCAGACGCACUGUUCCCACCGCUCCCUCUUCUCUCCUCCUCACCGCCCCUCCCUCUCCUCUCCUCUGAUGGCUCCACCCCGCCCAGCGCCACGCCGCCCUCUGACCCCUGUCGACCAGCGCAUCACCGGCAUCCAGGAGCACUGGCUGGCCGGGCUCCAGAACUCGGGCCACGACCUAGCGUCGGCGCUGCGCGCGCUGUCCCCCAUCUGCUGCCGGCCACCACGAGCGCCGGACAAUGCGGUGCCGGCUGCUCUUGCUCCACCGCCGAUUCCGGACCUGGUGGUCCUGGACUCGGCGCCGACACCGUCGAGGGAGCCGCCCCUUCUUGGGACCCCAUUGGUCACGGGGGUUUUCUUGACCCCCGUCCAAGGGUUUUCUCCGGUCGGUGGGUCGUCCUUCUCGACCUCCGGCGUGGCGUUGAGCACGUGGCUGAGGCCGCAUGCCGUCGCCGAGGUCGGCUCCUCGUCUGCUCCACCCCCUCUCUCCUUCUCACCGGGAUUUUCACCCCGGCAUCGGUUCGCCGCGGCUGCGCGUGCUCCGGCAUGUGGUACUAGUUACUGGAUUCGAUGUUAUUAUAUUUGGGAUAGUGCAGUGUUGAGUGCCAGUUGCAUCAAAGACGAUGGCACUGAUCAGUGGACUUGUCCAACAGCAAUGUCAUUUGCUCUUGGGCAAAUGUCCCUGAUCAGUGCCAUUUUGCUAAGAGUUUGUGCACCAAUACUUGUCAUCUUACCUGACACGAUAUUGAAGACUGAAUGGGAUGUGCCGGGAGGAGGAGCUCAGGUGGUGGCCGGAGCUGAGCGCGGCGAGGAUUUCAUCCCCAUGAACAGGUGGCUCAGGAAGGUGGACCUGCCUGGCAAGAUCGCCUUCAUGAGUGUGCCUCGUUCAAGGGGACGAUCUCCGAGGCAGGGCCAUGAGGAGGGGGCCAGGGAGCUAGCCGAUGUCAUCAAGCGGCUCCCGAGCGUGGUCAGGCUGUCGGCGAACAAGCGGUGCGUGUUCUGGGUGCAGGUGCAGAACUUCGAGGGGCACAUGGUGCUUGGCCGGGGCUGGAACUACUUCUGCCACCGCCACCGGAUCGUCCCCGGCGACCUCGUCGUUUUGCGCAUCUCCGGACUCGGACUGAAGGUUCAGAUCUAUAACCAUGACUCCUCGGUGAUGUGCAGGCCACCACAUUUGAAUGGGGUGAGCAGAACACAAACGUUGUUUGCAACCAAACAGCUGAAGUUUGCAUCUGCUCACACCCUAAGCACAAAAACAGCAACCAAACAGCAGGGGUUGCCCCUGGAUACGUGCAUUGUUACUUGGACUACGAGGCAUCCAGGAACAAUCAGCUCCUACAUGGUUCAGAUGCUGGAGAUUGCAAUUUUGCAAGUGACUUGCUGCAAGACGUUGAAAUCCCGCGGCCUUGUGAGCGACGUCUUGGGCCAGAUUUAUUUUACACGGUCGGCGCAGCCCCCGCACAACCGCAUAUGUGUUCUUUCGGGGUCGGUACUCGUGGCAGAGCCAGGGUCGCUGAAUUUUGAGAAUAAUUGGUCAAGUCGAGGACAUUUCGACAGAUUCAUUGUGUUCUAUCUUUGUAUUCACCUUGGUGAGAUAAAUCCUCUCGCUCUCCGCGCCACCCAGCGCAUGCCCAUGCCCAACUUGAGCAUCAACCAUUUUCAUAGGCGCGCUCCAAGCGUCAACCAUCUUUGUGGCGCCAGGGUUAUCACCGUACCCGUUGUUGCAGCCGCGCCACGGCUACUGCCACCCGAGCAAUGCCUCUUCCCUCCCGUGUUGCUCUCACUCACUUCGGACAUAAGAGCAUCUCUAACCGAUUCCUUAAGAAGCUUCCUAAUACCUUCAUUCUCGCCGACCGCUAUGCCCUGCUUGGCCGCAUCAACACUGGCGCUGUCCUCCUUGCCUCCGCCGCUCACCAGACGCCAUCCCCGACAGCCCAUAGCCCCUCCGACCUCUGGCCACCAAAUUCCACUUGGUGGUGCUCCUCCCUUCGUGCCCACCAUCAACAUCCGGCUACACCCUACCGCACACCCCUCCAUAGGAUCCCCUCCCUUCGCCGCUAAGGUCUCAAUUGUUAAUGGGCAUCUAGGAUCCACUCACGGAGAGGAACACCCCAUGAACCACUACACGAUCAACUAUUCUGGCCUUCUCGCGUACUGCCGCAACACGGCGGCCGUAAUCCUCGUCAACAUCGCCGAUGUUGUCGACAUUGGUGAAGCCCUUGGUGGUGUUACCUUGACGCCCACAAGGUGGUGCAUGCUCGAGGUGCUGACCAGGCUGCGGCGCAAGAUGGCUUUCGAGUAG